UGUACUACUCAGAGUUUGAUCAUGGCUCAGAUUGAACGCUGGCGGCAUGCUUUACACAUGCAAGUCGAACGGCAGCGCGGGGCAACCUGGCGGCGAGUGGCGAACGGGUGAGUAAUAUAUCGGAACGUGCCCUGGGGUGGGGGAUAACGCAGCGAAAGUUGCGCUAAUACCGCAUACGAUCUAAGGAUGAAAGCAGGGGACCGCAAGGCCUUGUGCUCCUGGAGCGGCCGAUAUCUGAUUAGCUAGUUGGUGGGGUAAAGGCCUACCAAAGGCAUCGGAUCAGUAGCUGGGUCUGAGAGGACGACCAGCCACACUGGAACUGAGACACGGUCCAGGCUCCUACGGGAGGCAGCAGUGGGGAAUUUUGGACAAUGGGCGAAAGCCUGAUCCAGCAAUGCCGCGUGAGUGAAGAAGGCCUUCGGGUUGUAAAGC
rnacentral:rRNA from 1 species